GAUGAACGCUGGCGGCGUGCUUAACACAUGCGAGUCGAACGAUGAAGCCCAGCUUGCUGGGUGGAUUAGUGGCGAACGGGUGAGUAACACGUGAGUAACCUGCCCUUAACUCUGGGAUAAGCCUGGGAAACUGGGUCUAAUACCGGAUAGGAGCGUCCACCGCAUGGUGGGUGUUGGAAAGAUUUAUCGGUUUUGGAUGGACUCGCGGCCUAUCAGCUUGUUGGUGAGGUAAUGGCUCACCAAGGCGACGACGGGUAGCCGGCCUGAGAGGGUGACCGGCCACACUGGGACUGAGACACGGCCCAGACUCCUACGGGAGGCAGCAGUGGGGAAUAUUGCACAAUGGGCGCAAGCCUGAUGCAGCGACGCCGCGUGAGGGAUGACGGCCUUCGGGUUGUAAACCUCUUUCAGUAGGGAAGAAGCGAAAGUGACGGUACCUGCAGAAGAAGCACCGGCUAUCUACGUG
rnacentral:rRNA from 1 species